rnacentral:rRNA from 1 species
GAUGAACGCUGGCGGCGUGCCUAAUACAUGCAAGUCGAGCGAACAGAUGAGGAGCUUGCUCCUCUGACGUUAGCGGCGGACGGGUGAGUAACACGUGGAUAACCUACCUAUAAGACUGGGAUAACUUCGGGAAACCGGAGCUAAUACCGGAUAAUAUAUUGAACCGCAUGGUUCAAUAGUGAAAGACGGUUUUGCUGUCACUUAUAGAUGGAUCCGCGCCGCAUUAGCUAGUUGGUAAGGUAACGGCUUACCAAGGCAACGAUGCGUAGCCGACCUGAGAGGGUGAUCGGCCACACUGGAACUGAGACACGGGCCAGACUCCUACGGGAGGCAGCAGUAGGGAAUCUUCCGCAAUGGGCGAAAGCCUGACGGAGCAACGCCGCGUGAGUGAUGAAGGUCUUCGGAUCGUAAAACUCUGUUAUUAGGGAAGAACAAAUGUGUAAGUAACGAUGCACGUCUGGACGGUACCUAAUCAGAAAGCCACGGCUAACUACGU